AUCUUGGGACUGCCGCCACACCCGCUCCCCACAGGUCCGUGGACUGGGAUCCAAAGGACAAUUCAGAGCUUCAUGGAUGAUGAAGUGUUUGUUAACUGCCAAAAUUAUGAAGUCCAGAAACUUUGGGAAGCUUUUCUGGACUGAGAAUGUAUGUGAUAUUACUUCUCCUUAAUUUUAAUAUUGAUUGGAAAAAUAAGAACAGCACAUCAACAAGAGCUUCUAUUUCUGCACACUGAUUUCCAUUGGCAAAGAAAUUAAUGUUUUUUCUUCAUCUUCAUACAAUAACUCUGGGAAGUUAGUUUAUUCCUUCAUUUACCAUCUGUCUCCAGCGGCCUUGUCUGAGCCUGACCACGAGUAAGCAUGCCAGAGAAGUUGACUGAAUGCAUUCUGAAUUGGAGUUCUGUUAGAAAGGUUCCUGAGGCUCUAUGAAGACCCUGUGGGGGAAGAGUGCAGAAGCCACCGUCCCAUACCUGCCAUCUAAUGUGGUAACUGAGUUUCCCAUUGCCACAGCUGGGGAAUGAGAAGCACUUAUAGAUGUAUGAUUACAUGUUGCUAUUCAAAUGGGAUCUGCUCUGUCUGGGAGACCAACUAGGAUGUUAUGCUGUUAAUGAAGAGGAAUAGACAGAGGAGGAGAAACAUCUAUGCUCACGUUUAUAUUGAACAUAAGAAUCUCAGAAUCUCUGCACUAGAUUUGAAUAGCUCAUCUGACCCACCAAGUUGUCAUAAGUUUGCUCCUGACAGUGACUAAAGUCAUUCUGCUUUGUAAUACUCUAGAGCUGUUAAUGACCCAAAGUCAUUGUUUUGGACUAUGUAUUCCUACCCUUUAAUGGUUUUGUUUAUUCUUGUUGGUUUUAAUUAAAUAAAGAAAA
rnacentral:sRNA from 1 species